UUCUACUGGCUCCUGUACGACGUACUUAAUGAGGUCAAAGAGUUUGCGGACUCGAAUUGCUAUUACCCCACCUAUUGGCCCGCCGCGUUGCUCGCCCCCGACCACUGCAAUCCCUACCGCCUGGUGGAGGAGACCCGCCGUGCCUUGGAAAACAGAGGUGGUGAAAUUCAGACAGAAUUUAGGUCAUUUACUAAAUCUGGGGAUUUGGUGUUGAGGAUAAAAAAUAUCGUGCUUGAGAGACCCUAAGAAAUGACCUCUUUGUUAGUGUCUUCCUAACAUUAUUUUUUAUCUGCGGCAACUAAGUCUCCUGGAAAGUGACGCCUGAAUUGUGUUUAAACUUCCUGCCUCGGGAUUUCCAAGGCUUGCGUGCGGUGUUGCCUCCACCAGGCGGAUGGGAUGAUGGGAUCCAAACCCGUUGCUGACUCCACAGAGUGGAAGGAACUGCCUGCACCUCCUUUGUUUCUGCGGUAACGUGCGGUGAGGAAAUUUAAGCCAUUGCUGCCAUCCGGGGUUGUGAGGACUGACCUGAAGGACCUUCCCUCCAUGAUGGUCACGGUGGAAUCCAUCCUGAUAACACAGAUGCUCCUCUCCAUGCUGACUUGGGCAACGAAAGCCACUGCCUCGCCACGGGUAGGAAUGUUUUACUGUACCAUCCUUGCUUGCGUGUUACAGCAGUGUAUAUUAUCGGCUUCGUCCACAUUUUCAUUCUGUAUCAUUAAUAACUUUAUCAUUAAUAACUUUGAAUUGGU